GGGGGGGGCUUUCCUCCACGAAUACAAAGGCUAGUUAGCGCAGAGCGGGGGGUAUGCGAGGCUCCUCGAUUCCUGCCCCUCCGAAUGGAGAAAUAAAAGUCUGAAAAUCUGUAAUGAGCUCGCUGCUUCCUCAUCGCUCCAUUCUGCCCCUCCCGGUUUCUUGUCCGCUCUUUUUUUCUCUCCGGGUUUGUUUCACGGUCGGGCUGCGUGUGUGUUUACGUGCGCGCGCGCGUGUUCGCCGUUAGCUUUCUGUCUCGCAGUGAGCAGCCCACAUGCCGGGGAUAAACCGUUCGACGAAAAAAGGGGCAGACAUGUAUAUCGUUUUUUUUUUUUUUCCCUCUUUCUCUUUCUGCAGAGAGGCGAGCGACACAAGACAGACCCGGACCCAUCGCAUGGCCCGACCCGCCAGGCAGAGCCGGACGCUGGGCCGAUCGGUCUUAUCUCCGGCGCGGAGGUUUGGCCGGGGGAGCAGGGAGCUCCUGGCCGCAGCACAGGGAUGGGGGGUGCCGCUCACCUCGUGGGGACGGCAUUGGCGCGCCCAGCGGACACGACGGUGCUCCUCCUGUUCCCUGAGACCCUAACUCGUGAGCUCUGUCAACCAAAAAUCACGGGUUAGGCUCUUGGGACUCGGGCGGAGGGCACGGGCGUCUCUGGACAUCGGCCAUCUUUCGAGGGUGGAGCUGACACGGGGGGUUGCGGCGGUGGCAGCGACAGCGGCAAGGCAGACAAAGAGCGAGACUGCGAGGCAGGCGACGAGGGAGAGCUUGCGAUGGCGCUCAACUUUCUGAAGCUGCUAGCCUGCCCGCUAACGUCUUCAGAUCUGCAGCUAAUGUAUCUCCUGAUGCAUCUGUGCAUUUCGAAAUCUGGGAACAUGAAGCAUCUAAAGACAAAACCAGGGACUGAGUGCAAUUCCUGUACUACUUCUGUGUGUCAUGUCCAACUUAGCCUGCAUAAGUGUAUGUGCAAGCAGCCGUAUAUGUGGAUGCUGAUAAUAAAAUAACUUUAAUAUCCAUAUUCUGAUUAUAGUAGACUUCAUAAACUGCUGAUGCUGUGCAGCCACGCAUGCACAGCCAGGGCAUGCCGCAGUAACGUUGCAUGCUGCAGUUGCGUUGCAUGCUGCAGUAACACAGCUUUUAUUAACUUAAGGAUGUGUUUUGCAGCGGUUUUCAGAAAAAUUGUAAAUAAUGCAUUUAAGAAAAGCGAAUCAUUUGGGCACUUUGUAAGUGAAUGCCGAUGCGAUUCAGAUGUCAUGCAUUCAAACCCGUUCACUGCUAGCCAUCUGGUAACAAUUAGUUAGUGCUGACAAAAUUGGUUUAAGGAAUCAAGUUUAUUUUAGUGCUGUGUAAAAUGCCGAAGAAUCUGUGUGUGCACUCUGCAGGGUGAAGAUACGAGUCUGUUUUCGACAAAGGGUUUUGCUGCCUCGGUUUUUAAUUGGUUUCUGUGAAUGCUGAUAAAGUCGUCUUAAUGUCUUACAUUAAAAAUAUUUAUAAUUAAGGUCGAGAUUACAAAGCAGCACAUUCAUUGUUCAUUUUGUCACUUUCACCAAUUUGUACAUAAUGCCUUUUGGAAUCAGCCACUCUCUGCAGUCAUUUUUAUCACAAAGAUAAGAAGUGUAGAUGCUUUGAAUAAAGCUUACCUGAAAGAAAGGCUAAUCUGCCUGUAUGUCAGCUGGAAGUCCGAUGUCACCACCUUUUUGAACCUGUGUUGUUUUGCUGGCACGGACCGUGGCCUGUGAAAAACACCAGGACCCAUGAGACAGACUGAAUAAGAAGAAAAAAAACGUAGGAAUGAAGAGAGAAGAACGGUUUGGUCUUUGAAAUUUUAGAACCCUUCAAUUUUUACAGUAGAUAAUUUUGAAUAUUUUUUUGUCACUGUUUAAGUAGAAACACACGCUCACUCCACAAUGUGGCGAGCUCCUCUGUCCAACUUUUCUUCUUGUUCUUGAUAUUUGGAUGGUCGUACCUGCAAUAAUGUCCUGUCCUUUGUCACAUCAAUUUAUUGUAGAUUUGGAGACCGCUUCAUACGUCAGCUGUCACUUUAAUAACGUCGGACUGUGUGUCACUCAUUCACAGAUCUAAGUUUGGAACUAAUUUUUGACCAAACACAUAAAUAUACAGAAAACUAAAAUACCAGCAUCGUCAUUUUGGACAGAAGUCUUGUGUUUCUGUAUAUAAAGGUAGGGAAAUUAUCUCUUAUCUGGCUGCCUCGUUUUCAUACUCUCGUUUUGACCUUAACCUGCAAAAAACACUGCAUAUUGUUAUUUCUUUCACACCUGUAACUUGAAUUUAAGUUUCAAAAUCGAUAAACUUCUUUCGAGUUCUGCGUGACAUUUACUGUAUUCUGCAAGUAGCACUGCUUCAAGCCCAACCUGUUACUGAGACUAAUGUUACAUACUUCACACCCACCAAGACACAGUGUUUGAUUUCUUUGUUGAAAAAGGUUUAUGCCCCCCACCAUCACUACUACAUCCCUGACGAAAUGCACUAUGGGAAAUUAUUUAUGGUCUGUCACCGCGAAUGAAACAGACUUGCACUAUCAGUAUUAGAAUAAACAUACGUGUUACUGAGCUGGAAUAAACUUUGUUAAUGUUUGCACUGGAAUUGCUGAGCUCAGUAUAUUUUAUCCAUUCUCAUUUUGCUGGGUUCCUUUUGUGUGCAUGAUAGUUCUUAUUUUCUGCAGUAAUACCAAUAUAAUAAAUUAUGUUUUUAAAUUUUCAUUUUACUUCUGUAAUGAUCCUUUGGGUUCUCAUGUUACAAGCUUAAAAAAAGAUUCACGAUCAAAGGGGAUGCUAAAGAAACAAUUAAAAUUAUUGAGAAUGAUGCUCUUGAAAUCCAGUCUGUCUCUUUUUGUCUUUAUUCUGUUAUCAGUUUAUUCUGUAAGAUGCAGAGUUACACAACCCCUGUAAAUUCUUUGUAAGAGUCAUGCCACACAAAUCAUGUAGCAUUUCAAUAGGCCUGUUGGAAGCUUGUGUGUGGUGUGUGUGUGUCUGUGUAUAUGUAUAUAUAAUAUAUAAAAUUAUUAUAAAGCAAAAAAAAAAACACCUUAACCCACUAGCCGUUUUUUCUAAGACUCAGAGACUUGCUCUUACGUCAGCUAGCUAGACUGCUUAUCUAUCUAUCUAUCUAUCUAUCUAUCUAUCUAUCUAUCUAUCUAUCUAUCUAUCUAUCUAUCUAUCUAUCUAUCUAUCUAUCUAUCUAUCUAUCUAUCUAUCUAUCUAUCUAUCCGCAUUUAUUUGCUUGCUUGUUUAUUUGUUUGUUUUUAUUCCCAGUCUGAACCGUGGCUGAUUGGAGCUAAUCAGACGACGUCUGCACCGCGAAGCCCCCAGCAACAGGGGAAGAGGUGAAGGAGGCGGCGGCGCGCUGCGCGCAUACCAAGCAGCCAGGCGCGGCGCAGCUGGGCCACAUGUAUAUAUAUUCGGAGUGACUAUAUUAGUCCGCCGCUGGGGCUGAUCUAGCCAGACGCCGGGCGGGUGGCGGAUCCCCGCUGCCCGCGCCGCGCCUCUCGUAUUUUCAGCCUGUGCUCAGUUCUCUUAAAGCGUCCUUCAGCUCCAGAGAAACGCCAUCGCCCGCAUAUCUCUGUCUGUAUGCUAUCCUUCCCUCGAUUUUGCAUCUUUAGCUUCAACUUCGGGAUGUAAACAAAAGCGUACAUUUUAUACACGUGUGAUAUGUAGGCAAAUACGCACACUGAAAUACACGGGCCGUUCGGAGUAUGUUUAAUAUCCGCAUUGUUCUCUUGCCAAUAUCUGUACUGUAAGUGCAUUUACAGUGUAAGACUGCCAUUAAUCCCUGCGACAGCGUCUGGCUCUGCUUUUCUCAUCCCAGAGACAUUAGGUCUCUCUAGCUGUCGCGAUUCUGUGCAGGUUUUUUUUAACACUAACGACAGCAGUGGGAGCGACGGGAUAUCAAUGAUACCGGUGGGAACGACACUCCGCUAAGGACUUUAUCUACCACGGAAAAGAUGCGGUGAACCAACAACAAAAGAUAUCGGAUUUCUUUAAAUUCCCUUUUUUUUGUUCUGUCGUUUUCUAACAUGGUUGUCUGCAGACAUUAGCAGAACUUCACAUUUAAAUUCUGGACAGAUCCCAGAAUGAAUCAAAGUAAAUUAUAUGUAUCUGAGCUGCCUUUCUGGUUAAUCAGUCCCAGGGAUCCCUGGGAUUCUGGGUGGGAUUUAAAAACAAAUCUAUGGUUCUUUUUAAUUGAUAUCAGGAUUUAGAAUUUGUACAUUGAAAUUAGCCUAUAUUUUGUAAUACAGACAAAACCGCAAAAAAAUGUAUUAAGCACAGCUGCUGACCAACAGUUCCUCGUUAUUUCGAGGAAUAUUUAUCGGUUUCUUGAUAUUGAUGAUUAUAUCUGGAAAUAGAAGUAGUAAUCUUAAAAGUUAGAAUACUUGUUUUAACUAAAGCGAUUUUUAUAUUUAAACAUGUCAGAGCAAUGUUCUUUUUACUGCUACUCAACCAGUAUAUAAAAAUGCAAUUCAUCAGUUUCCGAAAGAAAUACUUUUUUCGGUCCAUCCUUAACAAGUUUAUUGGGUAGUAAUUAAUUCGUCUUGAGGACCGCGUUCGAGUCAUUAGUGGGUCCUUCUCGGUGUAUCCAAUGCUGAUUAGAUACGCUGAACUGUCAGCUCAGUGGAUGUAAAUUUUUCGCGUUUCUGCGUUUGGAUGCGCAUAAAUACGUGCUUAAGUCCCAGGAGGAUGCACACCUCUGUUUAGGACGUAAAAACGCCUGCAAGAGGAGCCGAUGAGGAGACGCCAGGCUGCUGUGUUCAGCUGUCACGCGUGUCUCUCCAGUGGCCCUGACCUCCUGGGACGAGGCUACAUGGAAGCCGCCUGUAGCUCACGGGGAGACGGCUCUGCUUUCCAGCUUAAACGACGCGCUGUUUGACAUCUUCACCAUCCUGGGAAGUAAGUGGAGUGUACAGAAGAACAGAAGUAAAAGGGCAAAGUACAAGACAGGCGCUUGACAGCCCGAAGAGCCGCAGUAAGGGGGAGAUGGACAGCAGGGCUCUGUGCGGUGUGUACAGUCGUCUGAUUUCAAGGUGUGCGGCGCGUGACAGGUUCUGCACGCGCUCAGGGUAAACUAGGCAGGUGCGAUUCCUUUCCUGCGAAUAAAUUCAACACAUUUGCACCUUUGUAAUGC